GGGACGGCGGCGAGCCCGGCCGGGCCGCCCUGAUGCGCGCCCCUCCUGCAGGGCCACGUGCUGAGGGAAGCACCGCGAGCCGCCUCACUCCGGGCGAGCCCUUAGCAAAGGAGCAACACGAGCGCCCGGCGGGAUCAGCAGCAGCAGCAGCAACAACAACAAGGGCACCGGGAGGGCUUCCCUCCUUCCUUCUCGGUGAUUUCCCAGGUGGGACCCUCUUCUGA
rnacentral:lncRNA from 1 species